rnacentral:rRNA from 1 species
UACGUAGGCAGCGAGCGUUGUUCGGAAUUACUGGGCGUAAAGAGUGUGUAGGCGGUGCUCUAAGUUCGGUGUGAAAUCUCCUGGCUCAACUGGGAGGGUGCGCCGGAAACUGGAGUGCUUGAGCGUGGGAGAGGAAAGCGGAAUUCCUGGUGUAGCGGUGAAAUGCGUAGAUAUCGGAAGGAACACCUGUGGCGAAAGCGGCUCACUGGACCAUUACUGACACUGAGGCACGAAAGCUAGGGGAGCAAACAGG